UACGGGGGGAGCAAGCGUUGUUCGGAAUCACUGGGCUUAAAGGGCGCGUAGGCGGGUCAGCAAGUCAGGGGUGAAAUCCCACGGCUCAACCGUGGAAGUGCCUUUGAUACUGCUGGUCUUGAGGGAGGUAGGGGCGUGCGGAACUUCCGGUGGAGCGGUGAAAUGCGUAGAUAUCGGAAGGAACACCGGUGGCGAAAGCGGCGCGCUGGAUCUCUACUGACGCUGAGGCGCGAAAGCCAGGGGAGCAAACGGG
rnacentral:rRNA from 1 species